rnacentral:rRNA from 1 species
GAGUUUGAUCCUGGCUCAGGAUGAACGCUAGCGGCAGGCUUAACACAUGCAAGUCGAGGGGUAGAGUUAGCUUGCUAACUUGAGACCGGCGCACGGGUGCGUAACGCGUAUGCAACCUACCUUCAACAGGGGGAUAGCCCAGAGAAAUUUGGAUUAAUACCCCAUGGUAUUUUCGGAUGGCAUCAUCUGAUUAUUAAAGUUCCAACGGUUGAAGAUGGGCAUGCGUCCCAUUAGCUGGAUGGUAAGGUAACGGCUUACCAUGGCUACGAUGGGUAGGGGUCCUGAGAGGGAGAUCCCCCACACUGGUACUGAGACACGGACCAGACUCCUACGGGAGGCAGCAGUGAGGAAUAUUGGUCAAUGGGCGCAAGCCUGAACCAGCCAUGCCGCGUGCAGGAUGAAGCAUCUAUGGUGUGUAAACUGCUUUUGUACGGGAAGAACACCGGUUCGUGAACCGGCUUGACGGUACCGUAAGAAUAAGGAUCGGCUAACUCCGUGCCAGCAGCCG